UCUCAUGCCCUGCGGAAAGUCUGAUCCCUGCAGCUGUCCCCCAGCUCAUUGAGCUUGUCCGUCCUGUUGUGUCUCUCUGGUGGCCGCCCAUCCUGACCUACAGACAGGUGGUGUUAAUGGCACCUGAAACACCAAAGGGGAAGGUAGCUAAGCUUAGCUUAGCACUCAGAUACUGACAGUUUGUGAAGCAAAGGGCUUGGAAUUUGAUGAUCUCUACAGCUUUUUCACAGUUUCAGAGGCAGCUCUGGGGUUCACACCAUCUCUGUGCCCACGACAGCCCGGGCAUGGCCACACUCCUCCCUC